AUCAAGUUGCAGAGAUCUAAAUGUUUCAUGCAAAAAAGAAAGAAAGAAAAAAAAAGAAGCAUGCAGAGAAAUGGAACCAUCAUCUAAUAGGGACAUGCAAAAUAUAAAAAACCACAACAAGGAAUUUUUAUUCUAUAUGUUGGAGAUCUAGAGUACAUCCUAUUGCUCUAGAAAUAGAGCAGCAUACUACAGUCAAAUGAUGCCAUCUCCUAGGAGUAACAGUUUGUUUUUUUUCUAUUUCAAAUGCUGAGCAUACAUAACUAAAUUGGAAGAACAGAUGGUGGAAGAAGAGAUGAGUUCCAAAACUUGAAAGCAACAGACAAACCAGACCAAGAUAAAGUUAAUCCUGCUCAUUUACAGACACUAGUAUGGGCUUACUUGUGACUUAGGAUUACAGCCAAGAUUAUGAUUUAAGCAUACAUAACUAAACAAGUCCAAAACUCAAAGCAACAGAAAACCCAGACCAAGAAAAAAGUACAUCCUGCUGACUUAGACCACAAUAAAGUACAUAUCCUGCCAAUUUACAGAACAAAAAGUACAUUCUGCUGAUUUACAGACAAUUGUAUGGGCUAUAGCAAUAAAAAGUGUUUUUAGAUGAUA
rnacentral:sRNA from 1 species